AAAGUAUGCAGCUGAGUUGAUCGAGAGAUUUGAGAUGCAAAACUUCAACCCCGUUGGCAAUCCGAUGGUGCCUGGACAGAAGGUUAGCAGAGAUGAAGCUGGUAUGAAGGUAGAUUCAACGCUCUACAAGCAAAUCGUGGGCAGCUUAAUGUAUCUUACAGCCACACAGCCUGACUUGAUGUUUGUGGUAAGUCUUAUAGUCGUUUUAUGGCAAAUCCUACUGAGUUACAUUUUGCUGCUGCAAAGAGAAUCAUGAGGUACUUGAAGGGAACUCUAGAGUUUGGGAUAUGGUAUCAAAGAGGGGGAAACGGCAAGCUUGUGGGAUACACUGACAGUGAUUAUGCCGGAGACAUUGAUGACAGCAAGAGCACCUCUGGUUAUGUGUUCUUGAUGAGCGGAGGAGCGGUAGCAUGGUCUUCAAGGAAGCAACCAAUUGUAACUCUGUCAUCCACGGAAGCUGAAUAUGUAGCCGCAGCUACAUGUGCUUGUCAAGCCAUUUGGAUGAGAAGGAUACUGGGAGAAAUCGGAUACGAACAAGAUGAGGAGAUGAUUCUACUCUGCGACAACACAUCUACCAUCAAGCUGUCUAAGAAUGCUGUUAUGCAUGGGAAGUCCAAGCACAUAAGAGUUCGCUAUCAUUUUCUCAGAGACUUAACGAAGGAAGGAGUUGUCAAGCUGGAGUAUUGCAACACUGAAGAACAGUUGGCUGACAUAAUGACAAAGCCUUUGAAGAUGGCAUCAUUUCAAAGGAUCAGGGAAGCAUUUGGGAUGCGAGUUAUGAACUUAAACUCUUAACCGAGUUCAGUUCAAGGGAGGGAUUGUUGAGUAAGGUUUAAGUUGUUUCAAUAAAGUCCUAUUCUUCAGGAUUAGAAUGGGUCAAUUGUUGUUUCCUAUUUUCCCGUUGUUAGUGGAACUAGUUGAGCUAGUCGCGUUAGUUUCGUUUGUGUUUGUUUCUCAUGUAUUCCCUUUAUAAGGCAUUGGACCCUAUGAAUAAAGAUAGAUCAUUCCGUGCAAUCUUUUGUGUCUUUCUAAUUCUAAUUCUACAGGUUUUGAUAGGAAGAUCAAUAAAAAGGCAUCACACCAUAACUCUCGAUAUGCUCCGUAUGAGACGAAAGAUUAAAAAAACAUGGAGAAUUAAGGAGCAAAAUGAGACACGCAAUGUUGGUUUUGUUGGACGUCACGAGUCUUAUGCUCAUCGUUCUAAACAAACUCAUAUUGAACGUUCUUCUAACAACAUUUCAGAUGUUCUCGAGCAUAAUGUUCAUCAGAGUAGUGGAAGGAAGAUAGCAAGUAAGAUAGUAACACCAGCUCGAGAUGAUCAGGAGAAUAAUGUCAUAAAAAAAGAGACAGAGGAUUAUCUCGUACGUUAUCUUUUUCUCCUAAGGAGAAACUCUUACACGUAGAUGAUCAGAUCAUAGAUGCAUUAAAUGAUAUGGAAAUCAUUGGCACAUGCAAUAUCAAGGGGCACCCAUAUGAGACACAGAUGGUGGGUGAGGAUCAUGACGAUGAUUUGUUAGGGGAAGAUCUGAUGGAUAUGGAAGAUAGUGUCAUAAAUGAUGCAGAGGAGAUGGUUGAUACAGUUUCGCGGGAGAAGGUGUACACGGCUAAGACUGAAAAGUCGAAGGCUUCAUCUUAUAAGAGAGGAAGACUUUCUCGAUUCCCUUUGGGUUUACAGAGUAAGAAGGCGGAGUUCCUCCGUCGAGGAUCUCCAAAGCUGUGCAGAUCAUCUUCUAGAGAUACAACUCAUUCAGGAAGACAACGCACUGGUCCGAUAAGAAACCUGAAAGGCAGUACACGUAAGAGUAAUGGUUUGGAGUGGUCCAAAAACACCUCCAGACGUCAUCUAUGAAGACAAUCAGUUGAAACUGUCGAGGGAUUAGGAGUGACCUCACAGUUCGACACCUUAAGGAGAUGUGUCAGAAGAAUCGCUUAGGACUUGUGUUCCUUUCUGAAACGAAGAACAAGAGGCUGCUGUUGCAAAACAUUUAGGCCGACUUAGGAUUUGGUCAUUUGUUUACUGUUGAGCCACUUGGACUCAGCGCAGGUUUAACUUUAUUUUUUUAUGGAUGAAUUUCAAGUUAAUGUUUUAUUUUCGAAUAACUGUAUGAUUGACAUUGAGGCAGUCAUUGAUGGAAUAAAAAUCUAUAUGACGUUUUUUUAUGGGGAUCCUAUAUUAGAAAAACGAGAUCAAGUUUGGGAACGUCUUACGCAUUUCUCAACAACUAGAACUGGACCUUGGUUCAUGAUAAGAGAUUUUAAUGAAAUUACGAGUCACAAUGAGAAAGAAGGAGGGAGACAACGUCAUGAUAGCUCUUUCCUGCCCUUUAAUCAGAUGCUUAAUGACUGUGGGAUGCGAGAGUUUCCCUUCACGGGGGAAAUGCUCUCAUGGGUAGGGAAGAGAGCAUGAAAAAAAAAUGUUCGAUGUCGCUUAGACAGGGCAGUAGGAAAUGCGGAUUGGCAUGAGAAGUUUCCCCACUCGACUGUGAGGUAUAUGAGGUUAUGGAGAUCAAAAACAUUCAAGUUUGAUAAAAUAUGGCUGGAUAAUGAGCAGCUAGGGCAAGUCAUUCUUGAGGGAUGGAAAUCUCCUGAUCUCCCUCCCAACGCGACUAUUAUGGAACAUAUUUCUAGCUGCCGAAAAGCCUUGAGUAAAUGGAGGAAACAACAUAAUGUUAACUCUGCGAAAUUAGUGGAGGAGCUAAAAGAAAAAGUGGAGGGUUUGUACGCAGAUGAUAAUGCUACAACUGAGGAAAUUGUUGCAGCGUUGAAGGAACUCUCUGAAGCUCUUAAAACAGAAGAAAUGUUCGGGAAGCAGCAGAGUCGAGUGUUUUGGCUGAGAGAACGUGACAGAAAUACAAAAAAAAUUUCAUGCCUUAACAAAGCAAAGAAGAGCAAGGAAUAAAAUCAUGCAGCUCCUAGAUGCAAAUGGAAAUAUAGUUGAUGAUGAAGAAGGAUUAGUAGCAAUUGCUACUAGCUAUUUUAGGCAGAUCUUUGAAUCAUCUAACCCAGAGGAUAUAGAGGAGGCACUAGCUCAAGUUCCUACGACGAUCACUGGGGUAAUGAAUGACAACCUUACAGCUCUGGUAUCUGAAUGGGAGGUCAAAUUAGCGUUUUUUGCUAUGCAUCCAAACAAGGCCCCAUGACAAGAUGGGACGACUGUGCUUUUCUAUCAGAAAUUUUGGGAGAUAGUAAAAGAGGAUUUAACUCUUAUGGUUAAUAAAUUCUUUUUUGAAGGGACGGUGGUUAAUGGACUGAAUAAUACAAAUAUAUGUCUCAUCUUAAAGACAACAAAGCCUAAUGAAAUUGCUCAAUUUAGACCCAUUAGCUUGUGUAACGUAAGCUACAAGAUAAUCUCUAAGAUCUUAUGCCAUAGAUUAAAGAGAGUACUACCAGGCUUGAUAUCGGAAACACAGUCAGCCUUUGUUGCUGGAAGACAGAUUUCAGACAACAUUAUGAUUGUUCAAGAAAUGUUCCACACUCUGAGAACUAAACCAAGUGGACGCAGUAAAAGAAUGGCCAUUAAGACAAACAUGAGCAAAGCAUAUGACAGGAUGGAAUGGUCAUUUAUUGAAGCUGUCAUGCGUAAGAUGGGUUUUUCAGAAACAUGGAUCACCUGAAUAAUGUGAUGUAUUACGCGGUGAAAUAUAAGUUACUCAUGAAUGGACAGCCAAGAGGAAAUAUUUUUCUUGGUAGAGGCCUACGCCAAGGAGAUCCUUUGUCUUCUUUCAUUUUAUUCUAUGCACGGAAGCGCUUGCUAGCCUUCUAAAUCAUGAAGAGAGCCAAGGGAAGAUAACGGGGAUGCGCGUCACACGCGCAUGUCUUUCGGUAUCCCACCUUCUCUUGUUGAUGAUAGCAUUUUCUUCUGUAAGGCGGAGCCCCGUGAAUGUGAAGAAGUAAUGAAAGUAGUUAGGAAAUAUGGUAAAGCAUCAUGUCAAUGUAUCAAAUUUGAUAAAUCGUCCUUACUCUUUGGUAAGCGGAUUGAUGCAACUAUUAGGCAAGAGAUUAAAGAUGCAAUUGGAAUACAAAACGAAUGAGGAAUGGAAACCUACUUAGGUAUCCCGGAAGACAUAAGUGGUUCCAAGUGCAAACUUUUUUUCAUUUCUCAAGGAUAAGUUGAUGCAUAGAGUGAAUGGAUGAAUAUGUAGAUGGCUCUCGAAAGGAGGGAAGGAAGUGUUGAUUAAAUUCAUUAUGCUAGCUCUUCUGAACUACAUUAUGUCUACUUUCCUGCUCCCAUUGGAAAUAUGUGAAAACCUAGUAAGUGCUAUUGCUCAAUUCUGGUAGAGCUCAAAUCCACCAAAAGGAGGAAUACACUGGGCGAAAUGGGAAAAAAUAUGUUUACCAAGAGAGGAGGGUGGGAUUGGUUUCCGUAUGAUCCAUGAGUUCAAUCUGGCCCUAUUGGGAAAACAAUUAUGGACGCUAGUUCAAUUUUCUGACUCUUUGGUUGCUCGAAUCUUGAGGGGAAGAUAUUAUAGAUUUAGUUCACCACUACGCGUAAACUCUGCUAGCAGCCCAUCCUAUGUGUGGACUAGCAUUUCUGCUGCAAUGAAGUUGUUAUUACUGGAAAUCAGACAGAAGAUACAUUCAGGUGAAGUAAAGGUGUGGGAGGAUUCGUGGAUUCCAACAACCCCUGCGAGACCAGCUAUCCAUGUAGCACCAGUUAUGCAUCCUAAUAUGAGAGUCAACGAUCUCAUUAAUCAGGUAUCGAAGGAUUGGGAUGUUGGUCUAUUGGAGAACUAUGUCAAUCUUGACGAGAUACCCCUCAUUAGGAGUUUGGCCAUAAGGUCAACUCAUCGUCGUGAUACAUUCUGCUGGAACUACACAAGGAAUUGCCAACGCACGGUUAAAUCUGGAUAUUGGGUGGCUCAGAAUUUAUUAAAGACAAAGGAAGAGAAGGAAGUCUUGGAGGCGAGUAUCACUAAGCUUCAAGCCUUUGCUUGGAAGUUAAAGGCGCCUAAGAAGAUGUCAUCUUAUAUGGCAAUUGUUAACUGGUCAUCUGGCAGUAACGAGGAAUUUAGCAAGACGUAAUAUGAGGUGUGAUAACUACUGACCAAGAUGUGGAGUACUAGAUGAAUCUGUAACCCAUGCCAUUUUUGAAUGUCCGCAAGCUCUACAAGUUUGGUCCUUAUCAUCAACUCCAACAAGCCCAUAUAUAUUUCCAGUCCCUACAAGAAAAUAUCAAUAUUGUUACAAAAAAUUUCGUCACAAUAAAAAGUAUUCAGUCACAAUAUGAUUAUUGUUACGUAUUUGUAAUCGUUUAUAAACAGUUACAAUGCUAUCGUCACAAAUCUCUUUGGUAACAAAAAUCGUUACAAAAUUGUGACUAACUUACAUAGUAGCUAUUUCAUCACAAGAUGUGACAAAUACGAAAGUAAUAAAAAAAUCAAAAUUACCAACUAAUUAUAGCGUAACAAAAUCGUUGGAUUAUGCAACUGCUAUUACGUCUCAAGCUCGUCACUGAUUAUGAUGGAAAUUUAGUCUUAAAUUGUUACUACAAAAUAAGGAUUCAUGUUUUCGUUGCUGGUCCCCAGCGCACUUGUUCUGGGGUGGAGUUCGACUGGUUAUGUUUCUCAGGUUUGGUGUCGUGUUUAUUUUGAGCUGUAUGCUCGGAUUUCCCCUCCUUAGAACCAGAAGACGUCUCUUGUUCGGUUCUUCUUAGAGUGUGGCAAGGUUCUAAGGUGCUGUGGUUUAUCUCCAUCAUUGGAGGUUGAUGGGCGGUGGCUCUAGAUGGUGGUUUAAGCUUGGUGUGGUCUUCCUCGGCGAUGGCUGGUGGUUAAUGGUUUCUCAGUUGGGGAGUAUUUCAGAGCUGCUCUCAGCGGUUUACAUAUCUUCGCUCUCCAUCAGGACGGGGCUCCGAAGUGGCUCCUUCCACCUUCAUGAUGUGUGUUUUCUUUGGGCAAUGUCAACAGGUAAAGGUGAGGCUCUUUCUUGGUCCGGGAUGGUUAGUACUGAAGCCUCUAGAUGGGUUUCGAUGGUGAAUAGAGGUGUCGAAUCCUUGAUUGUUGUAAUGUGUCUUUGUUUUAGCUUUCGGUUUGCUGUUUUCUUUGUCUACCUUUGUAUUCUGUAAAAAAAUUAAAAUUGGUAUAAAAUUUAAUAUUUUACCAAAAAUAAAAAGGAUUCAUAAUUCGUAGCUAGCCUGUCUUAAUUUAUACGACUAUUUUUUAGUAUUAGUUCUGUUACACUAUCACCAAAAUUUCUUUGGGAAUCGAUCGUAUUUAGCAUUUGGUUUCACAUCUAAUAUGUAUAAAUCGUUACCAAUUUUUUGUUAGCAAUUAGUCUUAAGUAGUUAAGAAUUAUUCAUCUCAUGUUUGGCACAAUUCAUCUCUAAGUGCAACAAUAGUAACUAAAAAAUGUUACAACUAUUGUUUAUUACACUGUUUUUAUACAUUGUUGCUUUUCUGGGUUUAAUUAGACGAAACAUAUAAAUUGUAAAAGGUUCUAGGUUGAGGAAGAUGCUUACAUAUUUAUAUACACAGGUUUUUGGCAGAAAAAGAAUAGAAAAGGAAAAUGGGCUUCGCUGGCCCAAAGUACAAAAAUGUCACCUUUCGAGAAUCCUAUAUCUUAAUAUUUUUUUUGGUAAAUUCACGAAUUAAAUACUUAGUUUGAGAACCAAAUACGAUUGAGAUAUAUGAUGGAAGUUCAUCAUCAGCGAUCAAAAUGAGUCAUAUAGUCAGUUCUUUAUUUUUUUUUAAGUUAGUUUUUGAUUUUCCAAAAUCUACUUUUUAUCCAAUCAUGAUUUUGACAAUAGAUUUCCUAUUUUUUAGGAAAACUGGUUUUUGCUUCCUUUUACUCUUUUCUUUCCAAAAACCAAAAUCACUAUUCUAUUGGAUUCUCCCUACGAAAGCUACGUAUAAAAACAAAAAUGAUUUUUUUCUGUUUUUUUUGUUUGCUAAUUUUAGCUAAAUAAUGUACUAUAUAAGACAAAGCUAUUUCACUACAAACACACAAAACAAAGCUGAGCAAAUCAAACGUAAACCUUAAAUAAUACAUCCAAGUGUCAAGUUUUGGGAAGCUUGCUGAUCUUCUUCGUUUCAAAUCUUUUCUCUACAUCCAAUCGAUAAGGUAUGACACAACAAGGACAGUCAUCAAAUGGCAAAGAGGGAAAAAUACUAUGGAACGAUAGCAAGGUUCAUAUAUUUCUUGAAAUAUAUGAAAAUGAAAUGGAAAAAAUAAAUUGGCGUACCAGUCCUUUGAAAAAAGAGAGUAAAACAAGAAUUAGAAAUGUUAUUGAAAGGAAUGUUUAACAAACGACAUUCUUCGCUACGAUCUGUUAUUGAAAGGACUUUUGGUGUGUGGAAAGAAAAAUGGCGGGUUUUAAGAGAGAAGCCAAGAUACAACAUACAUAUUCAAAGAAGAGUUAUUGCAGCUAUAAUGGCUCUACAUAAUUUUAUCAGGCUAUCAAAUUUAGGAGAUGUUGAUUUUGAUUCGGACUAUCCAGCUGGUAAUGUACCAACUGAAGACUCUGAUUCAGAUGAAGACGAAGAACAUAAUAACACUCAUGUGCACUAUAUGGAAGGCAUUCGAAAUCAAAUUUAUGCAUCUUUAUGGGAUUCAAGAUAAUUUUUAUUUUAUAUUUAUUUUUUUUGUUUUAAAAUAUUUUUUUUAAUUAUGUAUGCUUUGAUGAUAGUAUUUUAUUUUUUAUUUUUCAAUAAUAGAUAUUUUACUAUUCAUAAUAUUUAAAAUUUAUUUUCUUUUAAAGGCAAAAACCAAAAUCAAAAACCACCAAUCAAGUUUUUCAAAUAACCAAAAUCUACUGCAAAAUCAAAAACCAAAAAUUAAAAACCAAAAACUAAAAACCAAAAACCAAAAUCUAAAAAUCAAAAACCAAAAUCUAGAAUCUAACAAAACAAUCAUCACCUAGAUCAUCCAUCUUAUUGAAUUUAUGAUUUCGUUUCUUCUUUCAACUCAAACAAGGGAUAUCUUUAAAAAUAAAAAAAACCAGCAAAAACAGCCCGAAUAUAGGAUUUCAUGAUCAAAAUUUAUAAAA